UACAGAGACCUCAAGCGUUAUCCGGAAUCAUUGGGCGUAAAGCGUACCGAUAGGUGGUCUUACAAGUCAGAAGUGAAAUCUCUCAGCUCAACUGGGAGUCUGUCUUUUGAAACUGUAAGACUCGAGGGGCAAAGAGGAAGCUGGAACCAGCGGUGUAGCGGUGAAAUGCGCAGAUAUCAGGAAGAACACCCGUGGCGAAGGCGGCUCUCUGGUACGUGACUGACGCUGAGACGCGAAAGCGUGGGGAGCGAACAGG
rnacentral:rRNA from 1 species